rnacentral:rRNA from 1 species
UUGACCUCAAAUCAGGUAGGACUACCCGCUGAACUUAAGCAUAUCAAUAAGCGGAGGAAAAGAAACUAACAAGGAUUCCCCUAGUAACUGCGAGUGAAGAGGGAAGAGCUCAAAUUUGAAAUCUGGCAGUGUUUUGCUGUCCGAGUUGUAAUCUAGAGAAGUGCUGCCCGUGCUGGACCAUGUACAAGUCUCCUGGAAUGGAGCGUCACAGAGGGUGAGAAUCCCGUCUUUGACAUGGACUGCCAGUGCAUUUGUGGUGUGCUCUCAAAGAGUCGAGUUGUUUGGGAAUGCAGCUCUAAAUGGGUGGUAAACUCCAUCUAAAGCUAAAUAUUGGCGAGAGACCGAUAGCGAACAAGUACCGUGAGGGAAAGAUGAAAAGAACUUUGGAAAGAGAGUUAAACAGUAUGUGAAAUUGUUGAAAGGGAAACGCUUAAAGUCAGUCGUGUCGGCCAGGGAUCAACUCAGUAUUAUCUGCUGGGUGUACUUCCUGAUCUGAUGGGCCAACAUCAGUUUUGACUGCUGGAGAAGGAUAGAGGGAAUGUGGCACCUUCGGGUGUGUUAUAGCUCUCUGUCGGAUGCAGUGGUUGGGACUGAGGAAAGCAGCAUGCCGCAAGGCCGGGUUGUUUCGACCACGUUCAUGCUGAGGAUGUUGGCAUAAUGGCUUUAAUCGACCCGUCUUGAAACACGGACCAAGGAGUCUAACAUGCCUGCGAGUGUUUGGGUGGCAAACCCGAGUGCGGAAUGAAAGUGAAAGGUUGAGAUCCCUGUCAUGGGGAGCAUCGACGCCCGGACCUGAGCACAUUGCAAAGGAUCUGCGGUAGAGCAUGUAUGUUAGGACCCGAAAGAUGGUGAACUAUGCCUGAAUAGGGUGAAGCCAGAGGAAACUCUGGUGGAGGCUGGUAGCGAUUCUGACGUGCAAAUCGAUCGUCGAAUUUGGGUAUAGGGGCGAAAGACUAAU